rnacentral:ncRNA from 1 species
UAAAUUGAGAGUUUGAUCCUGGCUCAGGACGAACGCUGGCGGCGUGCUUAACACAUGCAAGUCGAGCGAUGAAGUUCCUUCGGGAA